UCAUAGCACAGGGCACAGCUCGCACCCGCGGCGUCCGGCACCUGCUCCGGCGACUCACCGCCGGCCCCAUGCCCCCUCGCUCCGCACCCAUUCCGGCAUGGUCAAGCUCCUCGCCGACCUCCUCCACGACGUUCCGCCCGCGACCUGCACCGGCCUCGCCACGCCCCCACCCACAUCUCGCUCCUCCUGCUCCAGCCUCCCCACACAGCCUCCCCGCUCUGGCUCUCCCUCCCAGCGCUUUCCGUCUAUGCUCACGCCGUCCGUCUCGCCAUCUUCCCCGCACGCCGCAUCACUCCGAACCAGUAUGCGGCUUCCCCAUAUCGUCCCCAAUUUCAAGAUUCGUCAGCUCACCCUUGCCCGUGUCCUGUUCGAUGAAAUGCCGCAGUCCGGUAUUUGCCUGGAUGAGUAUGUUUACACGGCUGGGAUUCGGGCUUACAGCGAGGCAGGGAAUCUCACUGCACGGAGAGGCUUGUGGCGAGGAUUGAGGGUCAAGGUCAGCGUGGUGUCGUAUGUACUGCUGUAUGGAUUGGGCAAGAAUCAACGCAUUCAGGAGGCAGUGGUAGCCGCCGAGGUAAAGAAUAACGUGGUGGUGACUGGGCGCUGCUGUAUGGGUUUGGUUGGACAGAGGAGCUGUAAAUGGCGUUGAGAAUGGCGACAUGGCCAGGCUUGCUUUCGUGCCAUCAGAGGUCAAUUGCUCAUUUCUGCUUGGUAGGCUACGAAAGAGGGUAUGGCGACGAACAUAUUUGCAUACAAUGCAUUGCCUGAUAACCUGUGCGAGAAUGGUAUGUUCGGUGAGGCAGACAGGCUUUUCAGUGAGUUGUUAGACAGGGGUCUGGUGCCAAAUGAGGUGACUUAUGCUAUGCUGAUACAUUGAACUUUGCAAAAGGGGGGUGAUGGAGGAUGCACUUCAUAUGUUUGAUAGGAUGCGGGAGAAGGGAGUCAGAAUGACAGUUUAUCCAUACAUUUCCUUAAUUAAUGAUUGCUGCAAAACAGGAGGAUUUGGACAUGGCAGACGGCCUUUCUGGGCGAGAUGGCUAAGAUAGGAGUGACACUGAAUGUAGCUUCAUAUUCUCCACUCAUAGCCGGUCUAUAUAGAGAAGGGGGCCUAUCCAGUGCCAUGGAACUCCACCAGAGAUGGCUAAGAAGGUUGUUGCAUGGACUACUUAUACGUUAACAGCCCUCAUCAAUGGUUUCUGCCAAAUGAAGCUUCUCGGUUGUUUAAUAAGAUGAUUGACAGCAAUCUAGCACCAAAUGAAACAACUUUUAGUGUCAUGAUAGAAGGGUAUUUCCUGGUAGGUAAUAUAAAGAGGCAUUCCAGUUGUAUGAUGAAAUGGUGGAUAGGGGCCUCAAACCUGGCAAUUACACAAUCUGGGGCUGCCAGAAUAUACAGUCGCUUCUUUCAGGAUCAUAUAAUUCCAGAUUGAAUGUCUUGAGGCGAGGCUCCCCUUUUGCUCCAUGUUCCCCAAUAUGCUAACCAGCAAACACGAGGUACGCAUCUCUGAUUGCAUGCAUCUCUACCGCUGCAUCUCUUAUCAACAUCCGCUCUCGAGGCUGUGUCUUUGAGCAGGAUAUGCCAAGCCUGAAGACAGAAACCAAGCACUCCUGGAUUCUACUAGUCAUAUCAUCCUUUGGUUCUCCAUGCAGCCAGAUUGUUGGGUCAGCUAUCUCCAAGGUUCUAUCCGGAAGAGCAUCCUCGACAAAUGUAUGCAGAUCCAAUGAAUCCCCAAACGUAUCAUCUGUUGGGCUUCUUCCGGUAAACAUCUCAAGCAGCAAUAUGCCAAGGCUAUAUAUAUCACCAUGAGUGGAUACCACAAAGCCUUCUCCAUACUCUACAAUUAUGCAAAGUUUUGUGGUCAGCAUGCCAUAUUUGAGUGAAAAAUAAAAGAUAGUAAUAUUCAAAGAAUUUCAGUCACCUGGAGCAACAUAGCCUAUUGAGCCUCUAAUUCCAAUUGAGCUAUAUGAAUUUUGCAUUCCCCCGCUUGUAUUUUCCUGAAGGAUCCUUGAUAUGCCAAAGUCUCCAACUCGGGCGCUCAUGUUGUCAGAAAGAAGAAUGUUGCUUGGCUUAAGGUCGCAAUGGAUUACCGAUGGUUGACAGUAGUUGUGCAGAUAUUCCACUGCGUCCACAAUAUCGGCACCAAUAUCAAGCCUCUGGGCAAGGCUGAGUGUGUUGCUUGUAGCUGGCUCUUUAGAUUUUGGAUGAAGCCAAUCAGCCAAGUUACCAUUGGGCAUGAACUCAAAAACUAAUGCCUUGAACUCUUGACCUUGGUGGUUGAUGCUCGAACAAGAGGUAACGAUCUUAAGGAGACAACGGUGUCGUAUCCUUCUCAUGGCCUCACAUUCAGUCUCAAAACUCUUGGAAUACCUAGAUUGACCAAGAUUAAACACCUUGACAGCCAAUGUUCUUUCCUCAUUGUCCAAGACACACUUAUAAACCGCUCCAUAACUUCCUCUCCCGAGCAAGUUGACUUCUGAAAAUUCAUUAGUUCCUCUCAAUAAUACUUGAUAGGGAAUUCUCUGGUAAUGGUCAUCAACAAUUAAAUUUUGUGAUAAUGUCUUGUGGCUUUGUUUGAGCCUCUUGCAAAGUAUCCAAACAAGAACAAUAAGUGAAAGUGACAACAAGAUUGCUCCGGCUGUUGCUAGAGAAAUUACAAGAGACUUUUGCAUCUUCUUUUUGUUCUUGCUUAAGGGGCUUGUGGAGCAUGGAGCCAAAUGAAGUUGAGGUGUACCUCCACACAAAUUGACAUUCCCAUCAACUGCUAAGUACAGUUCCUGCAGGUUUCCAAUGCUAGCAAGGGCAUCAGGAAUAUCACCAGAUAACUUAUUCAUGUUCUGGAUACUGUCGGGUAUCUUGCCAGAUAACUGGUUUCCUGCUAGAAUUAGUAUGUUAAGGUUUGCCAAGCUACCAACAUCAUUAGGAAUGGGCCCAGAAAAUGAAUUGUAUGACAAAUCCAAGUACCAAGAUAGGCUGGAUAAUUUAAAAAUCUCUCUGGGAAUUGAACCGUUAAGUCGGUGAUUCUUUGACAAGUCAAGUACGAAGAGGUUUUUCAACUCCCC